GAGGAAUAUUGGUCAAUGGGCGAGAGCCUGAACCAGCCAAGUAGCGUGCAGAAUGACGGCCCUCCGGGUUGUAAACUGCUUUUAGUUGGGAAUAAAAAAAGGGACUUGUCCCUUCUUGUAUGUACCUUCAGAAAAAGGACCGGCUAAUUCCGUGCCAGCAGCCGCGGUAAUACGGAAGGUCCAGGCGUUAUCCGGAUUUAUUGGGUUUAAAGGGAGCGUAGGCGGAUUGUUAAGUCAGCGGUUAAAGGGUGUGGCUCAACCAUGCAUUGCCGUUGAAACUGGCGAUCUUGAGUGCAGACAGGGAUGCCGGAAUUCGUGGUGUAGCGGUGAAAUGCUUAGAUAUCACGAAGAACUCCGAUCGCGAAGGCAGGUGUCCGGGCUGCAACUGACGCUGAGGCUCGAAAGUGUGGGUAUCAAACAGGAUUAGAUACCCUGGUAGUCCACACAGUAAACGAUGUAUACUCGCGGUUUGCGAUAGACAGUAAGCCGCCAAGCGAAAGCAUUAAGUAUACCACCUGGGGAGUACGCCGGCAACGGUG
rnacentral:rRNA from 1 species